GGAUGACAGCCACGUGAUGAUUAGGGAAGGACGGAUGCAUUGCUGUUCUACUUACACAUCGGGUAUCAAAGCGAGUCUCUUGUUGGAACCAUGAUGCUUGAUCUCCUUUGAGGCCGUUUGCACUGGGGCUUGAGUUUCCAAGACGCACAACAGGUGUCAGCCUCUGAGAACCCUCAAAGCAUGUGUUCUUCAACCUGGCAAAUUGUUUCCUCUCAUGGGGGAAGCUGAGCUCUGAUGAACUUGAGAAUUACACCUCUCUCAUGCCGAAGACCAUGGUGUUCCCCCUAACCACAGCCUUUCUUGCUAUCUGAGACCAAAUGUCUAGCUGGUAGACAGGUGGAUGUUUGGCCUCCUAAGGACACACUUCUGAUCCUGGGCCCCAGGUGGCGAAUCUCUGGCAUGUGGCUUGGCUUUGUUGAGACUCCAAAUUCCAUUAUCUUCAUGACAUUCAGCCUCAUUCAUAGGAUCCUGAAGCUGCAAUCCACAGUUCAGAAAGGAGAGGUGAGACCUCCCUCCAACCUGGUGCCACAGGUCACUCCCAAGCCACAUCUAGCCUGGAUGAGCUGGGACCCCAGAAUCUGCCUUUUGGGAGGCAGCAACGGCAGCGCGCCCAGGCAGGCACUUAUUCCUGCAGAGUGAGCCAGAAUCGUAGCAGGGCACUUGAACGCAGAGCUGAUGAUGUGAAGCCAACGUUCACCCAAGUUGUCAGAAAUGGCCACUUACAUGGUUCGAUCUUGCUGGGGACAAGUGGACAACUGGGGGUCACUGGCAGAGAUGGAAUUACAUGAAACAUUCACAGCAGGAGGCCAGCAGGUCUGGGGCAACAUGGGCAAUCGCCAAUGUCUCUUUUGGUUUAAAUUAUGCCAUCAUAUCCCUCUUUCAUCCGUGAGGCUCCCCAUCCCUGACAGCCAGAUGAGCAUUUGGAGCUGGUUUCUCAACAUGAGGAUGGGUUGGUUGUUAAAUUAACAACCUCCACAGUGUCAGAUUGGGUGAGCUUUGUCUGCUGGAAAAACCCAAAAUAUCAACUCUGCUUCAAGGGUGGACAAGAACAGAAGGCGGAGACUUGGCAGAGAGACUCGAGUUGAUUGUCACAGGCUACAGAGGGGCCAGCUCCAGGACAGUGGCCCGCUACAUCCUGUCCGAGCAGCCCGAGUGUGGUCUUGGUCCCUGCAGGGCGAUGUGGCAUCCGGACCUGGGGACGAAGUGGAUGUGCUUCUUGGAAAGCUGUUGCAGCCUGUACCUGUGGGUGCAGAGGGCACCUGCCCGGUAGACUCUCAGCUUUAUCACCCCCAGGAGCCUCUGCGAGGCCCCUUUGUCCUUGGCUGAGCGAGACCUUUCUUUGAGAAAUCUGUCUGUCUGUCUGUCAGCAUCGCUGUUUUCAGACCUCAGGCUGCAGAGGAGGGGAGAAGCCACACAAUAAUCUGGACCCAGUAAAGUGGAGAGAAGGGCGUCUCUACACAGCCCGGCCAGGGAGGAGGGCCCCAGAACAGGGAUCCAAAAGCUUGACGUCACUGAACAGGGCUGGGUCCUGGCAGAACAGGAAGGUUUGGCCAGAGGUGACCUCAGCAUUCCCUCCAGGGGCACCCAGGCCUCUCAAACCUGGGGGGAAGAAGGCACAUGCUCAGGCCCACCUUCCCCUUCCCAUCAGAGCCCAUGCAUCCUGGGCACCACCACUUCCACUCUGCAUUCCGAGGCUCCGGAGGGCUCUUCCUGCUGUGAAUGGAAAGGAGAAGAAACCCUGUGGGCAAUGGCAGCCUCUGAGUCUGGCAUUCUUGCCGAUGGCUGGCCAGCCAGGAGAAUCUCCCAAGCCCUGACACACGCAGGCCUUUUGUGGCUGCGGAGGAAAUGGGAUGGCUCUGAACAAAGACACGGUUCCUAGGGCCGUGGCCCCAAAUCACUUCCCCGAGAGUGAAUUUUAACACUGUAACAAUAAAUACUACUGCACAGCACUUUA
rnacentral:lncRNA from 1 species